UCAAAAUAAACACAAUUCUGG
rnacentral:piRNA from 1 species